AUUGAACGCUGGCGGCAGGCCUAACACAUGCAAGUCGAACGAGUGGCGGACGGGUGAGUAAUGUCUGGGAAACUGCCCGAUGGAGGGGGAUAACUACUGGAACCGGUAGCUAAUACCGCAUACCAUCGGAUGUGCCCAGAUGGGAUUAGCUUGUAGGUGGGGUAACGGCUCACCGAGGCGACUUUGCCUAGCUGGUCUGAGAGGAUGACCAACCACACUGGAACUGAGACAGGCACCGAAGACCUACGGGAGUCAGCAGUGGUGAAUAUUUCACAAAGGGGUAAAGCCUGAUGCAGCCAUGCCGCGUGUAGGAAGAAAGCCUUCGGGUUGGAAUGUACUGUCAGCGGGGAGGCGUGACCCGCAGAAGAAGCACAGGCUAACUCCGUGCCAGAAGCCGCGGGAAGAC
rnacentral:rRNA from 1 species